CUACAGAUUAGAAUUGAUGAACAGCUUGUGGCUUUGCUUGGCAAGUACUCUCAGAUUCCGGUGACCUACGCAGGUGGUGUCACGGUAAUGGAAGAUCUGGAGAGGAUAAAAGUGGCCGGCAUGGGACGUGUGGAUGUGACGGUAGGAAGCGCUUUGGAUAUUUUUGGGGGCAACUUGGCAUACAAAGACGUUGUGGCGUGGCAUGCUCAGCAGCAGGCUUUGCCUGUUUAAUCAUCUCUUGACAUUAUCUUGUGAUUCUCUGUAUCAAUUCAGCCAUUGGACAUGAUCGCGUGCAACUACCAAUAUUGGGUUCUUGCUCGCCUAUUCAGAAGAGGCUGUUUAUUACACUAAAGACCAUGUAGACAGUCGAGCUAUGAACCAGAUUGAGAGAGGCCUUAGUUUGGAUUGAGUUUGAUUUCUU